rnacentral:rRNA from 1 species
UACGUAGGGGCGAGCGUUGUCCGGAGUUACUGGGCGUAAAGGGCAAUGCAGGCGGUCGGACGCGUUUUGUGUGACAGCGGGUGGCUCAACUACCCGAGCAUGCGAAAGACGGUCGGACUUGAGGACUCGAGAGGGACACGGAAUUCCGGGUGGAGUGGUGAAAUGCGUAGAGAUCCGGAGGAACACCGAAGGCGAAGGCAGUGUCCUGGCGAGUGACUGACGCUGAGGUGCGAAAGCCAGGGGAGCGAACGGG